rnacentral:rRNA from 1 species
CCUACGGGUGGCUGCAGUGAGGAAUAUUGGUCAAUGGGCGCGAGCCUGAACCAGCCAAGUAGCGUGAAGGAUGACUGCCCUACGGGUUGUAACUUCUUUUAUAAAGGAAUAAAGUGAGGCACGGGGGCCGUUUUGUAUGUACUUUAUGAAUAAGGAUCGGUUAACUCCGUGCCAGCAGCCGCGGUAAUACGGAUGAUCCGAGCUUUAUCCGGAUUUAUUUGGUUUAAAGGGAGCGUAGAUGGGUUGUUAAGUCAGUUGUGAAAGUUUGCGGCUCAACCGUAAAAUUGCAAUUGAUACUGGCAGUCUUGAGUACAGUUGAGGUAGGCGGAAUUCGUGGUGUAGCGGUGAAAUGCUUAGAUAUCACGAAGAACUCCGAUUGCGAAGGCAGCUUACUAAACUGCCACUGACAUUGAUGCUCGAAAGUGUGGGUAUCAAACAGGAUUAGAUACCCUAGUAGUC